GUAGGUGAACCUGCGGAAGGAUCAUUACAGAGAACAUGCCCUCAAGGGUAGAUCUCCCACCCUAUGUUUAUUUUACCUUUGUUGCUUUGGCGGGCCCGUCUCGCGACCACCGGCUCCGGCUGGUCAGUGCCCGCCAGAGGACCUAAACUCUUAAUUUAGUGUCGUCUGAGUACAAUAAAAAAAUAGUUAAAACUUUCAACAACGGAUCUCUUGGUUCUG
rnacentral:misc_RNA from 1 species